rnacentral:rRNA from 1 species
GGAGGGAGCGAGCGUUGUUCGGAAUCACUGGGCGUAAAGGGCGCGUAGGCGGCCGAGUAAGUCGUGUGUGAAAGACCGGGGCUCAACUCCGUGUACUGCAUGCGAUACUGCCCGGCUAGAGUAAGGUAGAGGCGAGUGGAAUUCCCGGUGUAGCGGUGGAAUGCGUAGAUAUCGGGAAGAACACCUGUGGCGAAGGCGGCUCGCUGGGCCUUUUCUGACGCUGAAGUGCGAAAGCGUGGGGAGCAAACAGGAUUAGAUACCCUGGUAGUCCACGCCGUAAACGAUGGGCACUAGGCGUUGGGAGGAUUGACCCUCUCAGUGCCGUAGCUAACGCGUUAAGUGCCCCCCGCCUGGGGAGUACGGCCGCAAGGCUG